GACGUCGAUAUUCGACGUCAUAAACACCAACAAAUUUGGUUUUUAUGACGUCGAUAUUCGACGUCAUAAACACUAACGAAUUUGGUGUUUAUGACGUCGAAUAUCGACGUCAUAAACACGAACAACUUUGGUGUUUAUGACGUCGAUAUUCGACGUCAUAAACACGAACAACUUUGGUGUUUAUGACGUCCAUAUUCGACGUCAUAAACACGAACAAAUUUGGUGUUUAUGACGUCGAUAUUCGACGUC